CGCAUCUGUGCAUGCAGCAUAUCAAUAAGCGGAGGAAAAGAAACUAACAAGGAUUCCCUUAGUAACGGCGAGUGAAGCGGGAAGAGCUCAAAUUUGAAAUCUUCAAGGUUUUACCUUGACGAAUUGUAGUUUAAAGAAGUGUUUUCUGUUGAAGUUUUGGUAAAAGUUCUUUGGAAUAGGACAUCAUAGAGGGUGAGAAUCCCGUAUUUGACCAUUAUUUUCAGCUGUGUGAUACACUUUCAAAGAGUCGGAUUGUUUGGGAAUGCAGUCCAAAAUGGGUGGUAAAUUUCAUCUAAAGCUAAAUAUUGGCGAGAGACCGAUAGCGAACAAGUACCGUGAGGGAAAGAUGAAAAGAACUUUGAAAAGAGAGUUAAACAGUACGUGAAAUUGUCAAAAGGGAAGCGUUUGACACCAGUGUUGUUUUCUCGAAAAUCAAUUAAAAAGAGUUAGAUUUUGUUGUGUAUUGACCUUAACAGCUCGCAUUUCAAUUUUCUUGCUUUUUUUAAUGCACUUUUCGUUUAACAAGUCAACAUCAGUUUCUUUUGUUGUAAAAAGGUCAUUGGAAGGUGGCUUUCUUUUCGGAGAAAGUGUUUAUAGCCUUUGACUCCUGCAAUCGGAGAGACUGAGGUCUGCAGCGUAGAUCCUUCGGGGUUAGAUACAUUUGUGCUAAGUUAUAGCUUUUUAUAGACAACUUGUUGACUAUGAUUAGUCUUGUAGCUUACUCGCUUAUGCUAUUUUACCUACGCUUAGGAUGUUGAUGUGAUACUGCGAGC
rnacentral:rRNA from 1 species